UACAGGGGCCUCGAGCGUUAGGCGGAAUCACUGGGCUUAAAGCGUGUGUAGGCGGACUUCUAAGUACCUUGUGAAAUCCCACGGCUCACCCGUGGAACUGCUUGGUAUACUGGUUGUCUUGAGCCUUCUAGGGGCGAGUGGAACAAAUGGUGGAGCGGUGAAAUGCGUAGAUAUCAUUUGGAACGCCAAUGGUGAAAACAACUCGCUGGGGAAGUGCUGACGCUGAGACACGAAAGCCAGGGGAGCGAACGGG
rnacentral:rRNA from 1 species